UCGCUCCUACCGAUUGAACGAUCCGGUGAGACUUUCGGACUGACAAACCAGACCUGGCAACAGGGCCGGUAGGUCGGGAAGUUAUUCUAACCUUAUCGUUUAGAGGAAGGAG
rnacentral:rRNA from 1 species